rnacentral:rRNA from 1 species
AACGAACGCUGGCGGCAUGCCUAACACAUGCAAGUCGAACGAGACCUUCGGGUCUAGUGGCGCACGGGUGCGUAACGCGUGGGAACCUGCCCUUAGGUUCGGAAUAACUCCCCGAAAGGGGUGCUAAUACCGGAUAAUGUCUUCGGACCAAAGAUUUAUCGCCUUUGGAUGGGCCCGCGUUGGAUUAGCUAGUUGGUAGGGUAAAAGCCUACCAAGGCGACAAUCCAUAGCUGGUCUGAGAGGAUGAUCAGCCACACUGGGACUGAGACACGGCCCAGACUCCUACGGGAGGCAGCAGAGGGGAAUAUAGGACAGUGGGCGAAAGCCUGAUCCAGCAAUGCCGGGUGAGUGAUGAAGGCCUUAGGGUUGUAAAGCUCGUUUACCCGGGAUGAUAAUGACAGUACCGGGAGAAUAAGCUCCGGCUAACUCCGUG